rnacentral:rRNA from 1 species
AACGAACGCUGGCGGCAGGCUUAACACAUGCAAGUCGAACGCCCCGCAAGGGGAGUGGCAGACGGGUGAGUAACGCGUGGGAAUCUACCUAGUUCUACGGAACAACAGAGGGAAACUUCUGCUAAUACCGUAUACGCCCUACGGGGGAAAGAUUUAUCGGAAUUAGAUGAGCCCGCGUAAGAUUAGCUAGUUGGUGGGGU